rnacentral:rRNA from 1 species
AUGGUUGUCGUCAGCUCGUGUCGUGAGAGUUGUUGGGUUAAGUCCCGCAACGGGCGCAACCCUAUUGUUAGUUGCCAUCAUUCAGUUGGGCACUCUAGCGAGACUGCCGGUAAUAAACCGGAGGAAGGUGGGGAUGACGUCAAAUCAUCAUGCCCCUUAUGACCUGGGCUACACACGUGCUACAAUGGUUGGUACAACGAGUUGCGAGUCGGUGACGGCGAGCUAAUCUCUUAAAGCCAAUCUCAGUUCGGAUUGUAGGCUGCAACUCGCCUACAUGAAGUCGGAAUCGCUAGUAAUCGCGGAUCAGCACGCCGCGGUCGAAUACGUUCCCGGGCCUU